AUUGAACGCUGGCGGCAGGCCUAACACAUGCAAGUCGAACGAGUGGCGGACGGGUGUGUAAUGUCUGGGAAACUGCCUGAUGGCGGGGGAUAACUACUGGAAACGGUAGCUAAUACCGCAUACCAUCAGAUGUGCCCAGAUGGGAUUAGCUUGUUGGUGGGGUAACGGCUCACCAAGGCGACGAUCCCUAGCUGGUCUGAGAGGAUGACCAGGCACAGUGGAACUGAGACACGGUCCAGAAUGAUACGGGAGGCAGCAGUGGGGAAUAUUGCACAAUGGGCGCAAGCCUGAUGCAGCGAUGCCGCGUGUAUGAAGAAGGCCGUCGGGUUGUAGAGUACUGGCAGCGGGGAGGCGUUACCCGCAGAAGAAGCACCGGAUAACGCCGUGCCAGGCGCCGCGGUAAUUC
rnacentral:rRNA from 1 species